rnacentral:rRNA from 1 species
UACGUAGGGUGCAAGCGUUUAAUCGGAAUUACUGGGCGUAAAGCGUGCGCAGGCGGUUGUGCAAGACAGAUGUGAAAUCCCCGGGCUCAACCUGGGAAUUGCAUUUGUGACUGCACGGCUAGAGUGUGUCAGAGGGGGGUAGAAUUCCACGUGUAGCAGUGAAAUGCGUAGAGAUGUGGAGGAACACCGAUGGCGAAGGCAGCCCCCCUGGGUCAAGAUUGACGCUCAUGCACGAAAGCGUGGGGGAGCAAACAGG